rnacentral:lncRNA from 1 species
AAAAUAACAAUUAUUAUUAUUAAUAUAUAAAAAGUAGAAUAAAUUUUAUUAUUACAGUUUAAAAUUAAUAAAUUUAUUAUGAAGAAAAAUAAUUUAUAAAACAUUCGUGCUUUUUAUAUUUGGAAAUGGCCUCCUCGUUGUCUUUUAUUUGACAUUAUCAUUUUUGUUAUAACACUCCAGCUAAUUUGUCUAGAAUAUUAGCCGAGAAGUAAAUAAAAGGAUCGGGAUACGUUAACAUUACUGAAUUAAACUCGUUGUAUAUACCCAUAAUGCAUAAAAAAGCUUUGUCAUUAUACAAGUAUCGACUAAACUGAAUGAUAACAUUCCUGUCAUAAUGUAACUUAAAACUUACAUCAGAGCCGUAAAUAAACAGUCAAUACUAUGACACUAACUUAUACAACAACUUAAUAGAAUAUACAAAUAAACAAUGACAAUAACAUCCAAUUCCACUUCAUUUCUUCUAGUCCAUAGCUCUCUACACUGCAACCUGUUUAUCUGUAUCAAAAGGGAGUGGGGUGAGACAGUCACUUUGUCUCAAUGGAUUCCUCGCUACCCAACUAUCUCUUACGAACCAUUUUGGAAUCGAUCGUUAAUGCACUACAUUCAUAAAAAUGGCUUAAACAUAAUAAUAAUUCUCUUAAUAGAAACUAAAGAUGUAUCACACAAUAGUUAUCUUGAUUCAUUUUACAGGAAGCUUCCGAGGUGAGUAUAUCUCGAAAGGUCCACUAGGAUGUUCUCCUCUUAGGAUGUUCUCCACUACCCGUUGUGACAUAGCUAUGCCACGUUGGUCAUUUACUCACAUUAUUUCCUUAUCUUAACAGAUUCCUACUAAUGUAUGGAAAUCUUACUAUAGUUGAAAUUAUAAUGAUUUGUGGUUUGGGUGUUAACCACUAAUCUACUUGACUAUUCUAAUUUCUCAGUGUUCUUAACUUAACAACCAUCCCGGGGUAAUUCUAACUAUCCUGAAGAUCCUGAUUCAAUUCCUAAGUCUAACUGAUUUCAAUACAUGUAUGAAAGUCCGUAUCGUGGAAUUCUAGUCACUUAUAGUUUUUAUAAAAUAAAGUUCAUAGUUGAGGAUUUUCAGUUGAAAUAAAACAGUCAUUACACCUCUCAUAUAUAAGCCAAAAGGUUUUUCAUAAAUUAUCUUUGCUUGCACCGGUUCAAGGGUCCUAUGCAUCGAUGCACAUAAUCCAGUUUUUAAGAAAACAAGACAUCUGACUUAUAUGCAUCGACUCAAGUUUGCCUUGUACUGAUUCAAACUCACUCAGGCCAUGCUUAAGCCGGUUAACACAGCGUUUGUACCAAUCCAACGUUUCCCAGAUUUUUAGAAAACACAUUUUGUGCUUACGCACCGGCUCAUAAGGUGCAGAAAACAGAUUUUUGCUUCACAUGGAACCGAUUCAACCAUGGAAUCCUGCAUAACUCAGAAUAGUGUUCAAGUCCAAUUCAGCUUAUAUAAUCAUAAUUCAUACUGAAUUCCACAUAUUACAGUCAAUUCAUCAUGCAGGGCUUAUUUAAAGUGAUUAAUUAAUCAGUUAAUGAGUUAUCCUAGUUUAAUCCUAAACAUAACGUAACUUAAGUUGUCAUGCAUAAUUUAUAUUUGGGGAUAACUAUGGAACUAUUCUAUUAAAGUGAGAAUUUACUUAAAGGAACCCACCUGAUAUGGUUGAUGAUGAACUUAAUGAUGAUUACUCAAAGAUGCAAACUUUUUCUGCAUGAACUCCUCUUAGCUUCAAACAUCCAGUCAUUAACUUCUUAAGAUUUAGAAGCUACAAGUUGUACACUAUCAAAAGACAUCAUCACCAUCCUACAAUUCUUUAAACGAAGCUCCAAUCUGCCUCUUGUAUCCUUAAACAUACAUAUAUGCAGCCCUUCAUUUCCAAGAAAAGCAAAAAACAGAGGUUUUUCCCUUUCUCCCAACAAACCCAUUUCGGCUAAGCCAUGGAAAAUGGAAAGAGAAAUUGGAAUAGUCACUUACUUUGAUUCUUACACACCUAAAAGCUCAAACCCAUAAGAAAUUUGUGCAUACAAGUUAGAAUUUGAACAACAUGAAUUUAGGGGUUUAGUUUGGGAUUCUCGUACAAAAGUGAGGGAUAGAAGAAGCUAGAACUGAAAUUGGGUCUUCCUUGGGUGAUAUUGAAAAGGGCUAACAUGCAUUGGUUUUUCUUUUGAAGGAUUAAAGGAGUAGAAACUUGAGUUGGUAGAUAAGAGAGUUGGAAGGAAUUGUUCUGACUUUUUGUUUUUUUUCUUACUAGACCAGGUUGAUUAAAUAACUAAAGAUUCUUGACUUUUUCUCUAAAUGGUGUCUCUAAUUAACAUUGUUAUUAUUAAUUAGAGUUGGGUCGUUACAUUUGUUGUAUCAAAUAUCGAUAGGCAAGGUGACCCUCUCUCACCCUAUCUUUUUGUCUUAUGUAUUGAACGUUUAUUUCAAUACAUUAAUCUAGCGGUGGAUCAAAACAAA